AAUCCGUGGUGAGGGUACUCUCUGCGGUAGUCAUUGAACCUCUCCCAUGCAUUGCAAAGUGGCUCAUCAGAGAGCUGUAUGAAGGAGGUGAUCUUAUUCCUCAAUGC